AACAACCAAGAAUCUUCAUCAGCACCUUAGCCAAACUUUCCUCCUGGAUUUCCACCUCAAGUUAAAGCCCCUAUGCCUGAGAACAAGCCAUCUAUGGAAGAGUUAUUCAUGCAAUACAGGGCAACAACUGGUUUAUUCAUUCAGAAUCAAACAACAUCACUCUGAAAUCUUGAAACUCAAGUGGGUUAACUUGCCAAUGCCAUCAAUAACAAGCCUCAAGGAUGCCAAUGCCAUUAAUAACAGGCCUCAAGGAACUUUACCAAGUGACACUGAAACAAAUCCCAAAAAAGAAGGAAAUGAGCAAUGCAAUGCAAUUACUUUAAGGAGCAGUAAGCAGCUUAAUAAGGUAAAUGGUAAGAAAAUGGUAGAUGGUGAAGAUUGAGUUGAUCAGGAGGAUACUUCUAGCAAGCAAUUUCAAGUUGAUAAAGUUAAGCAAAAGAAGGAAGUAUCCACUUCACCACAAGUCAAGCCAUAUGUGCCUCCCAUUCUUUUUCUUCAAGCAUUGAAGCAAAAUAAAAUAGAUAAGCAAUUAGAAAAGUUUUUGAAUGUUUUCAAGCAACUUCACAUUAACAUUCCUUUUGCAGAUGCUUUGGCACAAAUACCUUCUUAUGUAAAGUUCCUUCAAGAGAUCAUGCCCAAAAAGAGGAAAUCGAAACAUUUUGAGACUGUUGCACUUACUAAAGAGUAUAGUGCUAUAAUUCAAAAUAAGCUUCCACCAAAGCUUAAAGAUCUAAGGAGUUUUUCAAUUCCUUAUACUAUUGGUAAAGUUGAAUUUUCUAAAGCUUUGUGUGAUUUGGGUGCUAAUGUUUCACUUAUGCCUUUGUCUAUUGCUAGGAAACUUGGACUUAAGGAGACACAACCUACUCUAGUUACCUUGCAAUUAACAGUCAAAUCAAUCAAGUACCCCAUAGAGAUUACAGAAGAUGUCUUUGUGAAAAUUGUAAAGCUUUACAUUCUAGUAGACUUUAAUGUGCUUAAGAUGGAAGAGGAUGUUAAAGUUCCUUUUAUUUUGGGAUGACUAAUAACUCUAUCAGAUAGAGUUAUUUUGACACAUUUUGGAAGCUUAAGUAGCUAGAUCUUUGAGAUUUUAGGUUCGAUUCCAAUAUUUUAGGUGUUUUUCUAGUUUAAGUUUGAUUACAUGUUGAGUAGUUAGUUUAAGUUAUUGUAGUUAAAUUUUAUGUUAUUUUGUUUUAACUUACUUUAAGAGUAGUUAUUGCUUUUUUCUCUUAUUGCUUUUUUCUCUUAUUGCUUUUGUAGAAAAUUUGAUGAAAAAGGCUUAUUUGAUGAAAAUCCGUGCAAGUAUGGUAAUGGCUUUAUUUGUAUAUAUUUUAGUAUUUUGACCAUAUCUUUCCAUAAAGAACUCCAAAUGAAGUAAUUCUUGGACCACUAGAACGUUACGAGGAAGGGCUACAACUUUUUUUUUUUCCACCACUUCACCCAAUUCUAAUCGGAUCAUAGUCGAAAUAUUUGUAUAAGUUGGAGCACUGCAGUAGUAAGCAUGGACUGAACAUGAUGCAGUAUUUGGAGCAUAUCCUUCACUCCAAAAGUCCAAUUGACGUUAUUCUUGAGCCAUUGAAAAUUCAAGAAACAAGAAUAAAACUUUCAUGUUUACCAUUUUUCCUAGUUCAAACCAUAUUAAGGUGAAAAACUCAUUGGACAAUGCCGAUAGAUGCAGUUCUAAACAAGGCAGCAAGGCGACUGAGGCUGCAGCUCUAAGCUAUUCAUGGCCAUGGCACUAAAGGAACCAAUGCUAGAAAUUUGUGACCAUGGCACUGGGUUUGAAGGGGGCAUCAUACAAAACCCGAGCACAGCGCUACGGUGUUGAAAAAGUAGUGCAGCGGCAUUACCAAAGUCUGUCAUGGUGCCAAGCACAACCUCGAUUUUUCAAAAAUAAAAAUUUAACGGGAUUUUGGUAAUUAGGUCACUUGGAGCCUAUUUAAGGGACUUUUUUUUAGAGGUUUUAAGAGAGAGGUAAUAAAUAACUAUUUUUAAGAUUUGGAGCCAAGAAUAAUGUAAGAAAACAACAGAAUUUGUGUUACACCCCGUACUUUGGUAUGGUGCCUAAUAUAACCUUAAGGAUAAGAUGAAAGUCAAUUGAGGCCAAUAAAAGUAUUUAAAAGUGUUGAAGGGUAAAAAGAUUAUUUUAAAAUAAAAUAUUUCUUAUGCUAAAAUAAUAAUAAAAUAAUAAUAUUAUGAAAUAAUAUUUUUCACUGUCAUCAAAUUGUAAAAAUUUUAUAAAUAUCUAUUUCUUCAACUUUUUUAUAAGAACGAAAUUAUCAAUAUUUGCUAUGAUCUCAUCCUUUUCAGUUGAUUCAUUGCUUUCAACUUCAAUACCUUUUACUGAAGGUCCAAGUGCACCCUCUUUCUCGCCAUCUUCUAGCACUUCACUCUCAUUUUCUUGUCUCUAGAUCUCCUUUAAAACUGAAAAUUUAUCAAACCCAGAUGAAUUUUCAAGCUUAACAAAAGGGGUAUCUUUCAAAGUGGAAUGCUUUAUGAUUUUUGCUGAAUCGUUACUGGUGGAAGUACUCGAGCUCUCUACAGUUAUGGGUUUAUGACCACCAAAUUAACAAAUGAUUUAUUGAAUUGACAAAUGGAUUUCCCAAUGAGUUGAAGGGUUGGAUUUGAUGAUCCAAGCAAAAAAGCAAAUCAGGAAGAUAAAAGAAGAACAUACUGUGAAAGAAAACACCUAAAUCUUGUAGAUUCGAAGGAAAAACUUCUGUCUCUCCAUCAAUGUGGUUCAUCAACAAAAUGCUUCAAAAUACAGUAAAAGAACAGUUAUUCUAUGAAAUUUGAUAGAGAGGACUUAUCCCUUUAUGCAUUUAUUGGUGCGUAUGUCGAUGGAGCAAAUUUUUCAAAAAGACAGCAAAACAAUUGAUCAUCUGAAGAGACCUUAGAUAAUGUGGAGUGGUUUGCCGGUAAAGGAAAACUUACCACCAUUCUGGUGGAAGAACCCAAGGGAAGAGUAGGGGACGACGAAGAAGAGACAUAGAGCUAAAGAGUUAAAGGUAGGAGUUUAUUUUUGGCUAGGUGAAAAUUAUCUUACUUACUCCCCUAAACGGCAUAAGGCAAUUAACAAUUUACCCAUUGACUUGUAAAAUCUUUUUCAUUUGAAUUUCAAUUUCAAUCAUUCAAGCAAAACUUAAUUUUGAAAACAUUUUUUGGAAAAUUUUUUACACAAACUUUAAAUUCCAGCUAAACUCCAUUAGCACCUAACAGUUCCUAAUUUGGGUUUUCUUCCUAACACUACCUUGAUCAAUCAUUUGCAGUGUCUUACCUCAUAAACUCAUGUGAGUUGUCUUUAAAAUCUGCUAAAUCAGUUGUGAGAAAGCAGAUUCAGUCGUCAACCUUCUCAAAAAAUAUGGGCUCAACAAUGCUCAAAUUCCCAGGUAGUGAAGAAGGACCCAAAGGUGCCUGGAAAGAUUUUGUCCAAGCUUGAGUUGUUAGGCCACCUAGCACUGCCGUGGCCAAUAUCGUGUCAUGAUUUCCUGAAAAGUGUGCUUCCUGAUGGUGUAAAAGAGGUUAAACCAUUGAGGCGGUCACAGUCUGCUUUACUGAAACAGCUGCAGAAUAAUUUGAUACCAAACAUAAAGCUUUUGAGAGAAAUUGGGGUCCCUCAAUCUUCCAUCUCUGUCCUAACCAAUGUAAAUCAUGCAGUAUUUGCCAAACCCAGGCAGACUUGACCACAACGCCACAAAAACUCUAAUCUAACUCUUCAUUAGUCUUUGUUUUGUUUUUAUUUAUGCCAGUAAUCCACCCCUUAAGAUCAACUGUGAAGAAGAAUUCAGGUGACAAGAAAAAAAUAAAAGAAGCUUACACAUAUCCCUUCCAAAUUCUGAUAUUCACCACUCUCCAAUCUUCUACUACAUUUUUCUGGACACUGGAAUUCAAUAUCAGACGAAUACCCA
rnacentral:lncRNA from 1 species